UACAGAGGGUGCGAGCGUUGUCCGGAAUCACUGGGCGUAAAGGGCGCGUAGGUGGCGACCCAAGUCGAUGGUGAAAGCUCGCCGCUCAACGGCGAGUCGGCCACCGACACUGGGUUGCUGGAGCACUGUAGAGGCUCAUGGGAAUUCCGGGUGUAGCGGUGGAAUGCGUAGAGAAUCCGGAAGAACACCGGUGGCGAAGGCGGUGAGCUGGGCAGUUGCUGACACUGAGG
rnacentral:rRNA from 1 species